GUGAUUAAAUCGAGCGUGUCUUCAUUGACCUCUCACCCUUCUCACCAUCCACAUACACCUGUGCACUGUUUAGCCUGAGGCCGGUUUUCCGGUCCAGGUUAUCAUUUCAUACAAACUCUAGUCUUAUGAAUGUAAACGUUUUAAUAACAUAAUA
rnacentral:misc_RNA from 1 species